ACGAACGCUGGCGGCGUGCCUAAUACAUGCAAGUCGAACGCUUCUUUUUCCACCGGAGCUUGCUCCACCGGAAAAAGAGGAGUGGCGAACGGGUGAGUAACACGUGGGUAACCUGCCCAUCAGAAGGGGAUAACACUUGGAAACAGGUGCUAAUACCGUAUAACAAUCGAAACCGCAUGGUUUUGAUUUGUAAGGCGCUUUCGGGUGUCGCUGAUGGAUGGACCCGCGGUGCAUUAGCUAGUUGGUGAGGUAACGGCUCACCAAGGCGACGAUGCAUAGCCGACCUGAGAGGGUGAUCGGCCACAUUGGGACUGAGACACGGCCCAAACUCCUACGGGAGGCAGCAGUAGGGAAUCUUCGGCAAUGGACGAAAGUCUGACCGAGCAACGCCGCGUGAGUGAAGAAGGUUUUCGGAUCGUAAAACUCUGUUGUUAGAGAAGAACAAGGAUGAGAGUAACUGUUCAUCCCUUGACGGUAUCUAACCAGAAAGCCACGGCUAACUACGUGCCAGCAGCCGCGGUAAUACGUAGGUGGCAAGCGUUGUCCGGAUUUAUUGGGCGUAAAGCGAGCGCAGGCGGUUUCUUAAGUCUGAUGUGAAAGCCCCCGGCUCAACCGGGGAGGGUCAUUGGAAACUGGGAGACUUGAGUGCAGAAGAGGAGAGUGGAAUUCCAUGUGUAGCGGUGAAAUGCGUAGAUAUAUGGAGGAACACCAGUGGCGAAGGCGGCUCUCUGGUCUGUAACUGACGCUGAGGCUCGAAAGCGUGGGGAGCAAACAGGAUUAGAUACCCUGGUAGUCCACGCCGUAAACGAUGAGUGCUAAGUGUUGGAGGGUUUCCGCCCUUCAGUGCUGCAGCUAACGCAUUAAGCACUCCGCCUGGGGAGUACGACCGCAAGGUUGAAACUCAAAGGAAUUGACGGGGGCCCGCACAAGCGGUGGAGCAUGUGGUUUAAUUCGAAGCAACGCGAAGAACCUUACCAGGUCUUGACAUCCUUUGACCACUCUAGAGAUAGAGCUUCCCCUUCGGGGGCAAAGUGACAGGUGGUGCAUGGUUGUCGUCAGCUCGUGUCGUGAGAUGUUGGGUUAAGUCCCGCAACGAGCGCAACCCUUAUUGUUAGUUGCCAUCAUUUAGUUGGGCACUCUAGCAAGACUGCCGGUGACAAACCGGAGGAAGGUGGGGAUGACGUCAAAUCAUCAUGCCCCUUAUGACCUGGGCUACACACGUGCUACAAUGGGAAGUACAACGAGUCGCAAAGUCGCGAGGCUAAGCUAAUCUCUUAAAGCUUCUCUCAGUUCGGAUUGUAGGCUGCAACUCGCCUACAUGAAGCCGGAAUCGCUAGUAAUCGCGGAUCAGCACGCCGCGGUGAAUACGUUCCCGGGCCUUGUACACACCGCCCGUCACACCACGAGAGUUUGUAACACCCGAAGUCGGUGAGGUAACCUUUUGGAGCCAGCCGCCUAAGGUGGGAUAGAUGAUUGGGGUG
rnacentral:rRNA from 1 species